rnacentral:rRNA from 1 species
AUACGGAGGAUCCGAGCGUUAUCCGGAUUUAUUGGGUUUAAAGGGUGCGCAGGCGGCCAUUUAAGUCAGCGGUUAAAUCGUGGGGCUCAACCCCAUUCUGCCGUUGAUACUGGGUGGCUUGAUUGCGGUCGAGGUUGGCGGAAUUCGUUGUGUAGCGGUGAAAUGCAUAGAUAUGACGAAGAACAACGAUUGCGUAGGCAGCUGACCAGACCGCAAAUGACGCUCAUGCACGAAAGUGCGGGGAUCGAACAGGAUUAGAUACCCUGGUAGUCCGCACAGUAAACGAUGAAUACUUGUUUUCGGCGAUAUAAUGUCGGAGGCAAAGCGAAAGCGAUAAGUAUUCCACCUGGGGAGUACGCCGGCAACGGUGAAACUCAAAGGAAUGGACGGGG